rnacentral:rRNA from 1 species
UACGUAGGACGCAAGCGUUGUCCGGAAUUAUUGGGCGUAAAGAGCUCGUAGGCGGUGUGUCACGUCGGCCGUGAAAACCUGCAGCUUAACUGUGGGCGUGCGGUCGAUACGGGCAUCACUGGAGUUCGGCAGGGGAGACUGGAAUUCCUGGUGUAGCGGUGAAAUGCGCAGAUAUCAGGAGGAACACCGGUGGCGAAGGCGGGUCUCUGGGCCGAUACUGACGCUGGAGGAAGCGGAAAGCGUGGGGAGCAAACAGG